rnacentral:rRNA from 1 species
UGGGGAAUAUUGCGCAAUGGACGAAAGUCUGACGCAGCGACGCCGCGUGAGGGAUGAAGGUUUUCGGAUCGUAAACCUCUGUCAGGAGGGAAGAAAGCGCAUGGCGCCAAUCAGUCAUGCGUUGACGGUACCUCCAAAGGAAGCGCCGGCUAACUCCGUGCC